rnacentral:misc_RNA from 1 species
GAUGAAGAACGCAGCGAAAUGCGAUAAGUAAUGCGAAUUGCAGAAUUCCAGUGAGUCAUCGAAUCUUUGAACGCACAUUGCGCCCUUUGGUAUUCCGAAGGGCAUGCCUGUUCGAGCGUCAUUAUCACCCCUCAAGCUCUGCUUGGUCUUGGCCCGCGCCGGCAACGGCGGGCCUCAAAAACAGUGGCGGCGCCAUCUGGUCCCUCAGCGUAGUAAUUCUUCUCGCUGCUGGGCCCCGGUGGUCGCUUGCCAGCAACCCCAAACUUUCUAUGGUUGACCUCGGAUCAGGUAGGGAUACCCGCUGAACUUAAGCAUAUCAAUAAGCGGAGGA